CUUUGUAUUCUUCCACAGCUUUCUUGAACUGCAUCCAAAUUGAGUUCCUUUGCAUUGCCAUGGCCAUUGUUUUGCGGUUCAAUAAAGCUGUGGGAAGAUACAGAUA
rnacentral:pre_miRNA from 14 species